AAUAUAAGCAUUUGUUGGCUUCUAGACGUCACGUUUGACCAUCCGCCUUAUUCAAAAAAUUUAUGAAUAUAUUAUUUAUUUUGUUAUGAUUUGUUUUAUCAUUAGGUGUACUUCAAGUAUGACUUAUUUGUUUUUAUAUUUCUAUAAUUUUUUUAAAUAAGACGGAUGGUCAAAUGUGAUGUGCGAAAAUCAAAAAAUACUUAUA
rnacentral:pre_miRNA from 1 species